ACUGGCAGGUGUAAUCUGACCUUCACCUCAUUUUCAUGGUUCAGUGGUUAUAGUUAAGUUUUUGUGUUUUGGUCUGUUUUUCUUAUACUAUAUGCAAUAGGUCUACUAUAUUUGAUGUAUGGAAUGAUUGUAAGGUGUACAUGUCUAGCUGGCAGGUGUCAUCUGACCUUGACCUAGUUUUCAUGGUUCAGUGGUCACAGUUAAGUUUUUGAGUUUUGGUCUUUUUUUCUAAUACUAUAUGCCAUAGGUCAACUGUAUUUGGUGUAUGGAAAUAUUGUACGAUGUUCAUGUCAGCCUGGCAAGUUUUAUUUGACCUUGACCUCAUUUUCACAGUUCAUUGAUCAAUGUUAAGUUUUUGUGUUUUGGUUUGUUUUUCUAAUACUGUAUGCAGUAGGUCAACUAUAUUUGGUGUAUGGAAAUAUUUUACGAUGUACAUGUCAGUCUGGCAUGUUUUAUUUGACCUUGACCUCAUUUUCAAGGUUCAUUGCUUAUGUUAAGUUUUUGUGUUUUGGUCUGUUUUUCUUACACUUUAAGCAAUAGGUCAACUAUAUUUGGUGUAUGGAAUGAUUGUAAGGUGUACAUGUCUAGCUGGCAGGUCUCAUUUGACCUUGACCUCAUUUUCAUGGUUCAGUGGUCAAAGUUAAGAUUUUGAGUUUUGGUCUUUUUUUCUAAUACUAUAUGCAAUAGGUCAACUAUAUUUGGUGUAUGUAAAUAUUUUAUGAUCUAUAUGUCAGUAGCGCAGGUUUUAUUUUACCUUGACCUCAUUUUCACAGUUCAUUGCUCAGUGUUAAGUUUUUGUGUUUUGGUCUGUUUUUCUUAAACUAUAUGCAAUAGGUCAACUAUAUUUGUUGUAUGGAAGAAUUGUUAGCUGUACAUGCCUGCCUGGCAUGGUUCAUCUGACCUUGACCUCAUUUUCAUGGUUCAUUGGUCAAUGUUUAGUUUUCUUGGUUAAUGUUAAGUUUAUGUGACAGUUGUAAUAAAGCUUUAUAUUAAGGACUAUCAACAUAAUAUCAGUGAUUAGUAAAGAAGGCGAGACAUUUCAGCGUGUGCACUCUUGUU